UAAAACGUAGGGGGCGAGCGUUGUCCGGAUUUACUGGGCGUAAAGGGUGAGUAGGCGGUCAUAUAAGUCAGGUGUAAAAAGCUAAGGCUUAACCAUAGUAAGCACUUGAAACUGUAUGACUUGAGUGCAGGAGAGGUAAGCGGAAUUCCUAGUGUAGCGGUGAAAUGCGUAGAUAUUAGGAGGAACACCGGUGGCGAAGGCGGCUUACUGGACUGUAACUGACGCUGAGUCACGAAAGCGUGGGUAGCAAACAGGAUUAGAUACCCUGGUAGUCCACGCUGUAAACGAUGAGUGCUAGGUGUUGGGCAGCAAUGCUCAGUGCCGAAGUAAACACAAUAAGCACUCCGCCUGGGGAGUACGUACGCAAGUAUGAAACUCAAAGGAAUUGACGGGGACCCGCACAAGCAGCGGAGCAUGUGGUUUAAUUCGAAGCAACGCGAAGAACCUUACCAAGGCUUGACAUCCCCUUGACCGGUGCAGAGAUGUACCCUUCUCUUCGGAGACAAGGGAGACAGGUGGUGCAUGGUUGUCGUCAGCUCGUGUCGUGAGAUGUUGGGUUAAGUCCCGCAACGAGCGCAACCCUUAUCCUUAGUUGCCAGCACUUCGGGUGGGCACUCUAAGGAGACUGCCGGUGAUAAACCGGAGGAAGGUGGGGAUGACGUCAAAUCAUCAUGCCCCUUAUGUCUUGGGCUACACACGUGCUACAAUGGUCGGCACAACGGGCAGCGAAGGAGCGAUCCGGAGCAAAUCCCAAUAAACCGAUCCCAGUUCGGAUUGCAGGCUGCAACUCGCCUGCAUGAAGUCGGAGUUGCUAGUAAUCGCGAAUCAGCACGUCGCGGUGAAUGCGUUCCCGGGUCUUGUACACACCGCCCGUCACACCAUGGAAGUUGGUAAUACCCGAAGUCGCUGAGCUAACCUUAAAGGAGGCAGGCGCCGAAGGUAGGAUCAAUGACUGGGGUG
rnacentral:rRNA from 1 species